GAUGAACGCUGACAGAAUGCUUAACACAUGCAAGUCUACCAAGAAUCACUUCGGUGAGGAAUGGUGGCGGACGGGUGAGUAACGCGUAAAUAAUCUGCCCUUUAGACUGGGAUAUCCUUUGGAAACGAAGGUUAAUACCGGAUAUUAUGAGAUGGACGCAUGUUCAACUUAUGAGAGCUAAAUGCACUAGAGGAGGAGUUUGCGUCCCAUUAGCUAGUUGGUGAGGUAAAGGCUCACCAAGGCCACGAUGGGUAGCCGGCCUGAGAGGGUGAACGGCCACAAGGGAACUGAGACACGGUCCUUACUCCUACGGGAGGCAGCAGUGGGGAAUAUUGGACAAUGGACCAAAAGUCUGAUCCAGCAAUUCUGUGUGCACGAUGAAGGUCUUCGGAUUGUAAGGUGCUUUCAGUAGGGAAGAAAAAAAUGACGGUACCUACAGAAGAAGCGACGGCUAAAUAUGUGCCAGCAGCCGCAGUAA
rnacentral:rRNA from 1 species